UUAGGGAAGCCUUACCAUGCAAGGUCGAGCGUGUAGCACAGGGAAGCUUGCUCCUGGGUUACGAGCGCCCUUCGGGGGAGUAAUGUCUGGGAAACUGCCUGAUGGAGGGCGAUAACUACUGGAAACGGUAGCUAAUACCGCAUAACGUCGCAAGACCAAAGAGGGGGACCUUCGGGCCUCUUGCCAUCACAUGUGCCCAGAUGGGAUUAUCUAGUAGGUGGGGUAACGGCUCACCUAGGCGACGAUCCCUAGCUGGUCUGAGAGGAUGACCAGCCACACUGGAACUGAGACACGGUGCAGACUCCUACGGGAGGCAGCAGUGGGGAAUAUUGCACAAUGGGCGCAAGCCUGAUGCAGCCAUGCCGCGUGUAUGAAGAAGGCCUUCGGGUUGUAAAGUACUUUCAGCGGGGAGGAAGGCGUUGAGGUUAAUAACCUCAUCAAUUGACGUUACCCGCAGAAGAAGCACCGGCUAACUCCGUGCCAGCAGCCGCGGUAAUACGGAGGGUGCAAGCGUUAAUCGGAAUUACUGGGCGUAAAGCGCACGCAGGCGGUCUGUCAAGUCCGAUGUGAAAUCCCCGGGCUCAACCUGGGAAAUGCAUUCCAAACGGUAAGCUAUAGUUUUUGUAGACGGGGGUAAAAUUUCCGGUGUAGCGGUGAAAUGCGUAAGAUCUCGGAGGAAUAGCGGUAGCCAAGGAGUCUCCUGUAAAUAAACCGAGCCCCAGUGCCAAAACGUGGGUGCAAAACUGAUUAGAUCCCCUGUAAUCCCC
rnacentral:rRNA from 1 species